UCUUCUUUAGAUCCAGUUCCACUCGAUCCCUCUAAGCCUGUUGGAGUUGCAUAGUCAAGCAUAUUUUCAAUUUCCUUUCCUUCUCCAAGCCAUCCAGCCGCACCAAUUGCUGCAGUCCUAAGGUAGCCUCUUGCAGCAAGCCAAGCUGGAGAUGAAAAGAAAGCUCUUCUCUUUCUUUAGAAGUAUGAGAAAAUGCAGUAUAACCAUCUAGUAAUAAAGCGGUAAGGACUAUCUAUUAGAGGAUAAAGUUAGCUAGUUCAAGCAAGGGUAAAAGCAGUAAUAUUGAAAUCUGGGAUAGCUGGUUCCACGGGUUCUAAAGCUCUAGAGCAAGAAAGUUUUGAAGCUAUCCAUAUGGAUCAAGGAAUAAUUAUAGUGCUAAGUCCAUCUAGUAUGAGUUCAUAGCUAGGAAGCCAAUCUAGGCUAGGAUAAGUUGAUAGGUAAUAGAUUGCGGGUUAAUCAUUGAAUCUUUCUUUUUUGAAGUGUGCCUAUUCCUCCAGCCUUUCUAUGUUCUGUGUC
rnacentral:lncRNA from 1 species